rnacentral:rRNA from 1 species
GUAGGUGGCAAGCGUUGUCCGGAAUUAUUGGGCGUAAAGCGCGCGCAGGCGGUUCUUUAAGUCUGAUGUGAAAGCCCACGGCUCAACCGUGGAGGGUCAUUGGAAACUGGAGAACUUGAGUACAGAAGAGGAAAGCGGAAUUCCACGUGUAGCGGUGAAAUGCGUAGAGAUGUGGAGGAACACCAGUGGCGAAGGCGGCUUUCUGGUCUGUAACUGACGCUGAGGCGCGAAAGCGUGGGGAGCAACAGGGAUUAGAUACCCUGGUAGUCCACGCCGUAAACGAUGAGUGCUAAGUGUUAGGGGGUUUCCGCCCCCUUAGUGCUGCAGCUAACGCAUUAAGCACUCCGCCUGGGGAGUACGGCCGCAAGGCUG